rnacentral:lncRNA from 1 species
GCGACAUCUGGUAAUGAGUUUUGAAUCCUAAGUUGGUUGCAAUAUUAUUAAAGAUACCCGAUAAUAGAACUCCACCGACAAUAGAACCCCAAUAUUUUAUUUUAAAAUACCCGACAAUAGAACUCCAGUGCUCGACAGUAGAACUCCACUACGAGACACGGAGACAGUAGAACUCCGAUAAUUUGAACUGCGACUGUGCAACCAACUUAGGAUUCAAAACUCAAGAUGUCGCCAGUGUCGCCUUUGUUGUUGUUAGCUUGUUACAAACGAGGCGAAGCCGAAAAGGGCGAAACCAAACUGUAGCUAAUUUAUACUUAUAUUCCUGUGAUUUCAAUUACCAAAUUGAAUUUCGUAUCAUAUUCUUCUAGAUGCAUACUGUCAGUGUCAGUCAUUCCAACAAGUUGACUUAGCGCUCAGUCAAUUUCCAUCCAUUAGGCCCAUCAUGCUGUCAAAAGCCUAAAAAUCAUGUUUGAAGAUCACAUGUAGUGGAAUACAAAUCUGCCGAGAUAAGGUAUCCUAAACCAUAAGACUUUUCUGAAUCUUGCAAUUUUUGUGACGCACCCUGCAACACCAUGUUUGUUGUUAUGGAUGCUACUGCAAUACUUCAUGACACUUUCUUUGACAUCAGGAAAUUUACAUCAACCUAAGGAGUAAUGCUGUUUGUUGCUGUGAAUUCAAUUUUUACAGUUUUUUCAUCGUGAGCAUUUCAGUGUGCUUCUUAAAAAAAGAGCACGGAGAUUCUUUUGCCAAUGCUGACCUUUGUCCAUGACGGAAGAAGGAUUUUCA